rnacentral:lncRNA from 1 species
CAGGAGGCGGAGCCAAGAUUGUGCCACUGCACUGCAGCCUGGGUGACAGAGUGAGACCCCAUCUCAAAAAAGAGAAAGAGAGAAGCAAGCCACUUCUGUAGCAUUUAGGGUGGUAGACAUACUCUUCUCCCACCCAUGAGAUAUUCUGGGCUACCUAUGUUGUCCUGUGAGGUUGUACAGACCAUGUCUGCCACCUGUGAGGUUGUAUAAACCAUUUCUUCAAGUCUAUGAAGUUGUACAGGCCACCUUGUCUACCCAGUGGUGUUGUACUGCAUCUCAUCUCAUCUGCCACUUCACAGUUUAGACCAUCUCUGAAAGUCUAUGAGGUAGUACAGGUUAUGUUUGCCAUCAUGAGAUUGUCCAGACCAUCUCUGCAGCUCUAUGUGAUGGUAAAUGACACAUUUGCUGCCUUGUGUUUUACAGACCAUCUGCAUUGCUAUGAGGUUGUGCAGGCAAUGCUGUCCACCUGAGAUUGUAUGGGCUAUGUCUGCCACUUCUGGACAUUAUAUGAAUCAUUCCUGCAGCUCUAACAUGCUACACAGGCCACCUAGUUUCCCUGGUGAGGCUGCACAGGCCACUUCAUAGGUUGCCCAGACUUCUUUGUGGCUUUAUAUAGUUUGAAGUCCACCUCCACCAUCUUGAGAGAUUGCCUAGACCACAUCUGCAACCCAUCAAGGCUUUAUGGGAUAUAUUCGUCACCUCCCAGAGUUGUGUGGGUCAUCAAUGAAACCAUCUAAGUUUCCAAGGGCCACCUCUGCCCCUCCCAAUUUUGCACAGCCAUCUCUGAAGCAGCAUGAGGUAUGUGGGUGCUUCAGAGACAGUGGAAUUGUCCUCCAUCCCCCACGUAUAUAUUUAACAAGCCAGUGGACGGACAUGCUUUGGUCAUCUUUGGGGUGAAAUUGGACUCCUGCCGGAU